rnacentral:rRNA from 1 species
AUUGAACGCUGGCGGCAUGCCUUACACAUGCAAGUCGAACGGCAGCACGGGAGCAAUCCUGGUGGCGAGUGGCGAACGGGUGAGUAAUAUAUCGGAACGUGCCCAGUCGUGGGGAUAACGUAGCGAAAGCUACGCUAAUACCGCAUACGAUCUACGGAUGAAAGCGGGGGAUCGCAAGACCUCGCGCGAUUGGAGCGGUCGAUAUCAGAUUAGGUAGUUGGUGAGGUAAAGGCUCACCAAGCCGACGAUCUGUAGCUGGUCUGAGAGGACGACCAGCCACACUGGGACUGAGACACGGCCCAGACUCCUACGGAGGCAGCAGUGGGGAAUUUUGGGACAAUGGGCGCAAGACCUGAUCCAGCAAUGCCGC